rnacentral:rRNA from 1 species
GCGAGAAAACUUUGCAAUGUGCGAAAGCACGACAAGGUUAAUCCGAGUGGUUUCUGCUAAAGAAACCUUUUGUCAGUCCUAGAAACACUAACGAAUAAGGGGUGGGCAAGUUCUGGUGUCAGCCGCCGCGGUAAAACCAGCACCUCAAGUGGUCAGGAUGAUUAUUGGGCCUAAAGCAUCCGUAGCUCGUUUUGUAAGUUUUCGGUUAAAUCCAUACGCUUAACGUAUGGGCUGCCGGGAAUACUGCAUAACUAGGAAGUGGGAGAGGUAGACGGUACUCGGUAGGAAGGGGUAAAAUCCUUUGAUCUAUUGAUGACCACCUGUGGCGAAGGCGGUCUACCAGAACACGUUCGACGGUGAGGGAUGAAAGCUGGGGGAGCAAACCGGAUUAGAUACCCCGGUAGUCCCUGAGCGGGCUGGCAAGGCGCAU